rnacentral:rRNA from 1 species
GGCCCCGCACAAGCAGCGGAGCGUGUGGUUUAAUUCGAUGUUACACGAAGAACCUUACCAAGGUUUGACAUGCAAGUGGUAGGAAGCCGAAAGGCCUACGACCCUUCGGGGAGCUUGCACAGGUGCUGCAUGGCUGUCGUCAGCUCGUGUCGUGAGAUGUUCGGUUAAGUCCGCUAACGAGCGCAACCCUCGCUGUGUGUUAUAUGUGUCACAUGGGACUGCCGGUCUUAAGCCGGAGGAAGGUGGGGAUGACGUCAAGUCAGCAUGGCCUUUAUAUCUUGGGCUACACACACGCUACAAUGGCCAACACAAUAGGUUGCUAAGCCGCGAGGUAGAGCCAAUCCUCAAAGUUGGUCUCAGUUCAGAUUGCAGGCUGCAACUCGCCUGCAUGAAGACGGAGUUGCUAGUAACCGCAGGUCAGCUAUACUGCGGUGAAUACGUUCCCGGGGCUU